CAGUAGCCGCGGUAAUACGAAGGGUGCAAGCGUUAAUCGGAAUUACUGGGCGUAAAGCGUGCGUAGGCGGUGAGUUAAGUCUGCUGUGAAAUCCCUGGGCUCAACCUGGGAAUGGCAGUGGAUACUGGCUCGCUAGAGUGUGUCAGAGGAUGGUGGAAUUCCCGGUGUAGCGGUGAAAUGCGUAGAGAUCGGGAGGAACAUCAGUGGCGAAGGCGGCCAUCUGGGACAACACUGACGCUGAGGCACGAAAGCGUGGGGAGCAAACAGGAUUAGAUACCCGCGUAGUCCCGUCUCUUAUACC
rnacentral:rRNA from 1 species